UACGAAGGGGGCUAGCGUUGUUCGGAAUCACUGGGCGUAAAGCGCACGUAGGCGGAUCUGCCAGUCAGGGGUGAAAUCCCGGGGCUCAACCUCGGAACUGCCCUUGGUACAGCAAAUCUUGAGUCCGGAAGAGGUGAGUGGAAUUCCUAGUGUAGAGGUGAAAUUCGUAGAUAUUAGGAAGAACACCAGUGGCGAAGGCGGCUCACUGGCCCGGUACUGACGCUGAGAUGCGAAAGCGUGGGGAGCAAACAGG
rnacentral:misc_RNA from 1 species